rnacentral:rRNA from 1 species
GCUUAAAAUCCAAAGGACUUGACGGUGUCUCACCCCUCUAGAGGAGCCUGUUCUAUAAUCGAUGAUCCCCGCUAUACCUCACCAUUUCUUGCUUCCACGCAGCCUGUAUACCUCCGUCGCAAUGCUUGCCAUAUGAAUGAUCCAUAGCAGGCCUAAUGACCAAUCCGCCAGCACGUCAGGUCAAGGUGCAGCUUAUGAAAUGGGAAGCAAUGGGCUACAAUUUCUAACUUAGAACAAACGAACAACCAUCUGAAACUAUGGUCACGAAGGUGGAUUUAGUAGUAAGGGGGGAAAAUAGAGCCCCCCUUAACAGCGGCCAUGGGACGCGUACAAACCGCCCGUCACCCUCUUCAACAGUAUAUUAAAAGUAAUUAACACUUAACUAGCGCCUUAGAAGAGGCAAGUCGUAACAUGGUAAGUGUACUGGAAAGUGCACUUGGAUAAACAAAAUGUAGCUUAGUAAAGCCUCCCGUUUACACCGGAAAGACAUCUGUUAAACCCCGAUCAUUUUGAGCCAAAACUCUA